GGGAGGGCGGGAGCUAUACAUGCAAGUCGAGCGGACAGAAGGGAGCUUGCUCCCGGAUGUUAGCGGCGGACGGGUGAGUAACACGUGGGUAACCUGCCUGUAAGACUGGGAUAACUCCGGGAAACCGGAGCUAAUACCGGAUAGUUCCUUGAACCGCAUGGUUCAAGGAUGAAAGACGGUUUCGGCUGUCACUUACAGAUGGACCCGCGGCGCAUUAGCUAGUUGGUGAGGUAACGGCUCACCAAGGCGACGAUGCGUAGCCGACCUGAGAGGGUGAUCGGCCACACUGGGACUGAGACACGGCCCAGACUCCUACGGGAGGCAGCAGUAGGGAAUCUUCCGCAAUGGACGAAAGUCUGACGGAGCAACGCCGCGUGAGUGAUGAAGGUUUUCGGAUCGUAAAGCUCUGUUGUUAGGGAAGAACAAGUGCAAGAGUAACUGCUUGCACCUUGACGGUACCUAACCAGAAAGCCACGGCUAACUACGUGCCAGCAGCCGCGGUAAUACGUAGGUGGCAAGCGUUGUCCGGAAUUAUUGGGCGUAAAGGGCUCGCAGGCGGUUUCUUAAGUCUGAUGUGAAAGCCCCCGGCUCAACCGGGGAGGGUCAUUGGAAACUGGGAAACUUGAGUGCAGAAGAGGAGAGUGGAAUUCCACGUGUAGCGGUGAAAUGCGUAGAGAUGUGGAGGAACACCAGUGGCGAAGGCGACUCUCUGGUCUGUAACUGACGCUGAGGAGCGAAAGCGUGGGGAGCGAACAGGAUUAGAUACCCUGGUAGUCCACGCCGUAAACGAUGAGUGCUAAGUGUUAGGGGGUUUCCGCCCCUUAGUGCUGCAGCUAACGCAUUAAGCACUCCGCCUGGGGAGUACGGGUCGCAAGACUGAAACUCAAAGGAAUUGACGGGGGGCCCGCACAAGCGGUGGAGCAUGUGGUUUAAUUCGAAGCAACGCGGAGACCUUACCAGGUCUGGACAUGCCUCUGACACCCUACAGAUAGGGCUUUCGCUUUCGGGGACAGGAGUGACAGGUGGUGCAUGGCUGGUCGUCAGCUCCUGUCAUGGAGAUGAUGGAGUUAGGUCCUGCAAACCAGCGCCACCCCUUGAUCUGUAGGUGGUCAGGCA
rnacentral:rRNA from 1 species